UUCUUUGCUGUUUUCAGUGAGUGUUUUGUUUUCUCUUUGUCCUUUAUCUCGACGAUGUUGUCGUGCUCAUUACCUUACUGAGACGUCUCUUGUGACUGUAGCCAGUGUCACGGAGGAUUUUAUUGGCGUGACAAGGUAGAUCGCCGAGAUCGAGCGUGAAAAACGCUCUGCAUUAGUAGCUCCUGUAGAAUGUUUUCUGGGUUGGCGUAUCCAUGGUCAACAAAACCAAGGUGCAAGACAGCAUGAGAGAUCGUGUAAACGAUGUGAACUCCAAAAGAUAAUCUGGCCAAAUUUAUUGUAACUAGAGAGUGCAAUCGUGCUUGGGGCCCAUCCCAAUGUCAUCACAUGGCUGUGGUGACUAGUCUAUAUCUGGGAGAAUUUUUCCUCGACUGAUACGGAGUGCAGGUGGAUCGAUUAUGAGAAAUGCGAACAUGUGAAGUUCAAGGCUAGAUGCACUUCACAUUCGGCGGGCGAUCUCAGCGUCUGGGACCUGAUGAAGUCUUGGUUGAAUGAUUAUUCAAGCCUGAUACUACUCGACACACCAAUGUUCAUGUCUAUGUAAUUUUUUCAGAGCUGCACUAUUUACGUGUUGAUGCUUACUUCGGUGUUAGCGUGUUUCCCCCGGAUUGUUUCUAUCAUCAUGAUCGUGUGUUCUUGGGCUGAGCGAGCACAUGCACAAGUGUGCAGCUAUAACCCUGUGUAUCUGUGGUUACACUUUGUUCU